rnacentral:rRNA from 1 species
UACGAGAGGCGCAAACGUUAUUCGGAAUUACUGGGCUUAAAGAGUUCGUAGGCGGCGCAGAAAGUAGGGUGUGAAAGCCCUCGGCUUAGCCGAGGAAUUGCGCUCCAAACCGCCUUGCUGGAGUGAGACAGAGGUGAGCGGAACUAAUGGUGGAGCGGUGAAAUGCGUUGAUACCAUUAGGAACACCAGAGGCGAAGGCGGCUCACUGGGUCUCAACUGACGCUGAUGCACGAAAGCUAGGGUAGCGAACGGG